GCUAACACAUGCAAGUCGAGCGGAACGAGUUAUCUGAACCUUCGGGGGACGAUAACGGCGUCGAGCGGCGGACGGGUGAGUAAUGCCUAGGAAAUUGCCCUGAUGUGGGGGAUAACCAUUGGAAACGAUGGCUAAUACCGCAUGAUGCCUACGGGCCAAAGAGGGGGACCUUCGGGCCUCUCGCGUCAGGAUAUGCCUAGGUGGGAUUAGCUAGUUGGUGAGGUAAGGGCUCACCAAGGCGACGAUCCCUAGCUGGUCUGAGAGGAUGAUCAGCCACACUGGAACUGAGACACGGUCCAGACUCCUACGGGAGGCAGCAGUGGGGAAUAUUGCACAAUGGGCGCAAGCCUGAUGCAGCCAUGCCGCGUGUGUGAAGAAGGCCUUCGGGUUGUAAAGCACUUUCAGUCGUGAGGAAGGUAGUGUAGUUAAUAGCUGCAUUAUUUGACGUUAGCGACAGAAGAAGCACCGGCUAACUCCGUGCCAGCAGCCGCGGUAAUACGGAGGGUGCGAGCGUUAAUCGGAAUUACUGGGCGUAAAGCGCAUGCAGGUGGUUUGUUAAGUCAGAUGUGAAAGCCCGGGGCUCAACCUCGGAAUUGCAUUUGAAACUGGCAGACUAGAGUACUGUAGAGGGGGGUAGAAUUUCAGGUGUAGCGGUGAAAUGCGUAGAGAUCUGAAGGAAUACCGGUGGCGAAGGCGGCCCCCUGGACAGAUACUGACACUCAGAUGCGAAAGCGUGGGGAGCAAACAGGAUUAGAUACCCUGGUAGUCCACGCCGUAAACGAUGUCUACUUGGAGGUUGUGGCCUUGAGCCGUGGCUUUCGGAGCUAACGCGUUAAGUAGACCGCCUGGGGAGUACGGUCGCAAGAUUAAAACUCAAGAAAAUUUGACGGAAUG
rnacentral:rRNA from 1 species